rnacentral:sRNA from 1 species
UGGACUGGGCCUCCCCGCCGCGCCGCCGCCGCCGUCGCCCGCAGCACCGCGCGGGCCUCUGAGUUGCAGGGCCUGAGGAGCCGCGUGCUGGGGACUGGACGUCCGCUGGCUGCUGCCGCACGAGAGAACCUCUCGCUUCCCUGUCACCAGGUCCUCGCGGAGGAAGGGGAGGGACGAGGCGCGGCUUUUCCUGUGCCGCCUGCCCGGUUCGACCUGCGCGGCCUGCGGCUUCUUGGGAACUCUAGGGCCGCGGCCGGGCCUGGCUCUGCCCGCGGCCUGUUGGGAGCUGGAUCGGAGCGGUUUGGAACGACAAGCCCGACAAAGAGACUUUUAAAAAACCAUGGCAGAUGUGGACCCAGAUACAUUGCUGGAAUGGCUACAGAUGGGACAGGGAGAUGAAAGGGACAUGCAACUAAUAGCCCUUGAACAGCUAUGCAUGCUGCUUUUGAUGUCUGACAACGUGGAUCGUUGUUUUGAAACGCUUUAUUCAUAUAUAGUAUGAUGUAAUUUUUUUCUUUUUUAAGAGACUGGGGCCUCACUAUGUUGCCCAGUCUGGCCUCGAGCUCCUGGGUUCAAGUGAUCUCCUGCCUCGGCCUCUUCAGUAGCUGGGACUAUAGGCUGUGCCACCACACCUGGCUUUAUAAUGUAAUUUUAAGGAAAUGAACCUAAAGUUAAGUCAGAUAUGAUUUACUAUAUGAAGAUACAAGAGUAUUUCAAGUUGAAGGGGUUAGCUGUGUUUGGUAUAGUGUACCAGUAACCUCCAAAAACUAGACAUUUGGUUUAAUUUUGUGACUGUUUUGUUUUUAAACAUUAGUUUGCUUUUCAUUCUAUAGCCAGAUUUUCUUGUUGUUACAAGGGAAAAUUGUCCUGGUUCCUUCUUGAAACUAGUGAGGGAGGCAUAGUGAGAUGGAAAGAAUGGGCUGUGGCAUCAGAGACUUGGGUUCAGAUUCUUGGUCUGUUGUGUUCAUUAGCCUCUGAGAGCCUUACUUUCUUCCCCUGUAAAAUGGCAGUAGUCUUUUUUUCUUUUCUGUUUUUUCAUAUGAAGUCUUGCUCU